UGGUGGGUAGUUUGACUGGGGCGGUCUCCUCCUAAAGAGUAACGGAGGAGCACGAAGGUUGGCUAAUCCUGGUCGGACAUCAGGAGGUUAGUGCAAUGGCAUAAGCCAGCUUGACUGCGAGCGUGACGGCGCGAGCAGGUGCGAAAGCAGGUCAUAGUGAUCCGGUGGUUCUGAAUGGAAGGGCCAUCGCUCAACGGAUAAAAGGUACUCCGGGGAUAACAGGCUGAUACCGCCCAAGAGUUCAUAUCGACGGCGGUGUUUGGCACCUCGAUGUCGGCUCAUCACAUCCUGGGGCUGAAGUAGGUCCCAAGGGUAUGGCUGUUCGCCAUUUAAAGUGGUACGCGAGCUGGGUUUAGAACGUCGUGAGACAGUUCGGUCCCUAUCUGCCGUGGGCGCUGGAGAACUGAGGGGGGCUGCUCCUAGUACGAGAGGACCGGAGUGGACGCAUCACUGGUGUUCGGGUUGUCAUGCCAAUGGCACUGCCCGGUAGCUAAAUGCGGAAGAGAUAAGUGCUGAAA
rnacentral:rRNA from 7 species